UUCCCAUGUAGCUUUUGGUCCCGAAAAUUAUGUCCAGCCUGGCAGACACAGAGAGUUCCAGUGUCUUUGACACGAUAAGGACAAACACUUCAGAAUGGACAGAUAUGGUACUACCAAAUAUUGGAAUAAAAUUUGACACGUGUGCACCAGAAUCUAUAAACAAAGUUUUCUCAAAGGGUGUUUUACACUUUAUUGAACAUGUUGAAGAGACAAUCCGUUCUGAAGUUGUAAAUCUGUUUUGGUUUCGAAGCGAAGAAGAUGAAGAGAAAAAAGAUUGUUUUGAACAUGCAGUUCUGGAUGUUUUUGACAUUGACUGUUAUCACAUAGACGAUAUUUCUAUAAGUGACAUCAUGAAAUUAAAGCAAAUUGAGAAAUCAAAUUGGAUAGAUAACUUUGUAGCAAAAUCUGAUAGAUGUCAACGCUUUGCAAGAGAAAGAAUUUGUAGAGAACUAUCAGCAAGUCUGAAGACAUUUGUGUGGCAGCUUUUAUACAUGCACAGAAGAUCAAAAGGAAACAAAUCACAAGAAUUGUCAGAAGGAAUGUUUCAAGAACUCUUUGUCACUUUUGCUAGAACAUUUGGCUUAAAUAUUGUGAGCAGUCCAAGUGUUGAAAAUUACUUAAUGAAAAUUAAUGAAAAAGAUUUUGUUGCCAAACCUGAUGCAAUUAUAUGCCAUCCUACAACAACUGGUGAUGACAAGAUUUGUGCUGUUAUAGGGGUUAAGGGAUGCAGCCAAGAUGAAGGCAGUGACCACACAAGAAAUUUAACAAAUAUGCCAAAAGGAUCUAAUGCUCCACAUAUUGGAUCGGACCUCAAAGGUCAACAUUGUGGACAGUUCCUGUGUACACUACCAUAUUCUGCGUUUGGAAAGAAUGGAAUGUUUGGUUUCAUUAUACAAGGAACAAAAGUGACAUUUACUGCUUUUAAAGCAGAUGAUGGGUAUUAUGACAAUUUAUGUAGUGGACAUUUGCAUCAAAAAGAAGCAUUUGUAACAUACAGCGAAGAAUACAAUAUUCUAAGGAAAGAAGACAGAAAACUUCUGGUGCAAACAUUCUUAGAUAUUGGAAAGUUAAUGGACUCUCUUUGUGAGAUGUAGUUGCACAGAUGUCAAAGAAAAUCUUAGAGUUUGGUGGACAUUUUCUAGUCUUUUGCCAGUCAAAAGAUAUCUAAAGAUAAAGAGAGACAUACUGCCAGUGAGGAAUAGAAUGAUGUGUGCUACAGUGUUCAAAACAAUACAGAACUUUACUAAAUGAAUUAUUAAGUUGUACCAUUUUGUGCAUGGGAAAUAUACAAUAUCCUUUUAAUACCAUCUUAUUUUUUUUAAUUUGGAUUUUAUAUACUGUAUAUACGUGUAUUGUACAAAUUAUUUACAAAAAAUAACAUGGAGACUGACUGAUAAGGACAUUUUUGCCAAUAAAUGUUUUAAUAUAGAUAACUUAUGUUUUUAUGCAUGCAAUAUUACUACUCUUAUUUUUUGGGAAAGAUGAAUUAAGCAAUAAAAAGAAACUUUGAGUAGGCUUUAUAUUAAAGUUAACUACACAUUU